rnacentral:rRNA from 1 species
UACGGGGGGGGCAAGCGUUGUUCGGAAUUACUGGGCGUAAAGGGCUCGUAGGCGGCCAUCUAAGUCAGACGUGAAAUCCCUCGGCUUAACCGGGGAACUGCGUCCGAUACUGGACGGCUUGAGUUUGGGAGAGGGAUGCGGAAUUCCAGGUGUAGCGGUGAAAUGCGUAGAUAUCUGGAGGAACACCGGUGGCGAAGGCGGCAUCCUGGACCGACACUGACGCUGAGGAGCGAAAGCCAGUGGAGCAAGCGGG